rnacentral:rRNA from 1 species
ACUGCGAGUGAAGAGGGAAAAGCUCAAAUUUAAAAUCUGGCGGCAUUCUGUCGUCCGAGUUGUAAUCUAGAGAAGUGUUACCCGCGCCGGACCGUGUAUAAGUCUCCUGGAAUGGAGCGUCAUAGAGGGUGAGAAUCCCGUCUUCGACACGGAUCCCCGGGGCUUUGUGGUGCGCUCUCAACGAGUCGAGUUGUUUGGGAAUGCAGCUCAAAAUGGGUGGUAAAUUCCAUCUAAAGCUAAAUAUUGGCGAGAGACCGAUAGCGAACAAGUACCGUGAGGGAAAGAUGAAAAGAACUUUGGAAAGAGAGUUAAACAGUACGUGAAAUUGCUGAAAGGGAAACGCUUGAAGUCAGUCGCGUCGGCUGGAAAUCAACCUUGCUUUUGCUGGGCGUACUUUCCAGUUGACGGGCCAGCAUCAGUUUUGACCGGUGGAAAAAGGUCAAGGGAAUGUGGCACCUCCGGGUGUGUUAUAGCCCUUGGUCGUAUACAUCGGUUGGGACUGAGGAACUCAGCACGCCGCAAGGCCGGGUCUUCGGACCACGUUCGUGCUUAGGAUGCUGGCAU